rnacentral:rRNA from 1 species
GACGAACGCUGGCGGCGUGCCUAAUACAUGCCAGUAGAACGCUGAAGAGAGGAGCUUGCUCUUCUUGGAUGAGUUGCGAACGGGUGAGUAACGCGUAGGUAACCUGCCUUGUAGCGGGGGAUAACUAUUGGAAACGAUAGCUAAUACCGCAUAACAAUGGAUGACACAUGUCAUUUAUUUGAAAGGGGCAAUUGCUCCACUACAAGAUGGACCUGCGUUGUACUAGCUAGUAGGUGAGGUAAUGGCUCACCUAGGCGACGAUACAUAGCCGACCUGAGAGGGUGAUCGGCCACACUGGGACUGAGACACGGCCCAGACUCCUACGGGAGGCAGCAGUAGGGAAUCUUCGGCAAUGGGGGCAACCCUGACCGAGCAACGCCGCGUGAGUGAAGAAGGUUGUCGGAUCGUAAAGCUCUGUUGUAAGUCAAGAACGGGUGUGAGAGUGGAAAGUUCACACUGUGACGGUAGCUUACCAGAAAGGGACGGCUAACUACGUG